rnacentral:rRNA from 1 species
GACGAACGCUGGCGGCGUGCCUAAUACAUGCAAGUAGAACGCUGAAGGAGGAGCUUGCUUCUCUGGAUGAGUUGCGCACGGGUGAGUAACGCGUAGGUAACCUGCCUGGUAGCGGGGGAUAACUCUUGGAAACGAUAGCUAAUACCGCAUAAUAGUAGAUGUUGCAUGACAUUUGCUUAAAAGGUGCAAUUGCAUCACUACCAGAUGGACCUGCGUUGUAUUAGCUAGUUGGUGGUGUAACGGCUCACCAAGGCGACGAUACAUAGCCGACCUGGGAGGGGGAUCGGCCACACUGGGACUGAGAAACGGCCCAGACUCCUACGGGAGGCAGCAGUAGGGAAUCUUCGGCAAUUGACGGAAGUCUGACCGAGCAACGCCGCGUGAGUGAAGAAGGUUUUCGGAUCGUAAAGCUCUGUUGUAAGAGAAGAACGAGUGUGAGAGUGGAAAGUUCACACUGUGACGGUAUCUUACCAGAAAGGGACGGCUAACUACGUG